CCUACGGGGGGCAGCAGUGGGGAAUAUUGGACAAUGGGGGCAACCCUGAUCCAGCCAUGCCGCGUGUGUGAAGAAGGCCCUCGGGUUGUAAAGCACUUUCAGUGAGGAAGAACGCCUGGUGGUUAAUACCCAUCAGGAAAGACAUCACUCACAGAAGAAGCACCGGCUAACUCCGUGCCAGCAGCCGCGGUAAUACGGAGGGUGCGAGCGUUAAUCGGAAUUACUGGGCGUAAAGCGCGCGUAGGUGGCUUGAUAAGCCGGUUGUGAAAGCCCCGGGCUCAACCUGGGAACGGCAUCCGGAACUGUCAAGCUAGAGUGCAGGAGAGGAAGGUAGAAUUCCCGGUGUAGCGGUGAAAUGCGUAGAGAUCGGGAGGAAUACCAGUGGCGAAGGCGGCCUUCUGGACUGACACUGACACUGAGGUGCGAAAGCGUGGGUAGCAAACAGGAUUAGAUACCCCUGUAGUU
rnacentral:rRNA from 1 species